ensembl:snoRNA SNORD54 small nucleolar RNA, C/D box 54
UGGCGAUGAGGAGAGACUGUCGUGCUGAACUCGGUGAUGGUCGUAUACGCUAUUCUGAGCCCGCC